AUUGAACGCUGGCGGCAGGCCUAACACAUGCAAGUCGAGCGGAUGACGGGAGCUUGCUCCUUGAUUCAGCGGCGGACGGGUGAGUAAUGCCUAGGAAUCUGCCUGGUAGUGGGGGACAACGUUUCGAAAGGAACGCUAAUACCGCAUACGUCCUACGGGAGAAAGCAGGGGACCUUCGGGCCUUGCGCUAUCAGAUGAGCCUAGGUCGGAUUAGCUAGUUGGUGGGGUAAUGGCUCACCAAGGCGACGAUCCGUAACUGGUCUGAGAGGAUGAUCAGUCACACUGGAACUGAGACACGGUCCAGACUCCUACGGGAGGCAGCAGUGGGGAAUAUUGGACAAUGGGCGAAAGCCUGAUCCAGCCAUGCCGCGUGCGUGAAGAAGGUCUUCGGAUUGUAAAGCACUUUAAGUUGGGAGGAAGGGCAGUAAGUUAAUACCUUGCUGUUUUGACGUUACCGGCAGAAUAAGCACCGGCUAACUCUGUGCCAGCAGCCGCCGUAA
rnacentral:rRNA from 1 species